UGAAGGGGAAAGGAGAAGCCCCAGAAAGCUUCAUGGUCACGCCACGUAUGGGAUGCUCGGCAGCUGCCCUGGCUGGGAUCUAACAACAGGAAGCCAGCGGACCUCACGGGGCCAUUCCCAGGCUUAGAUUGAAGGGAAUCUAAGUUCGGGAAAACAAUUGGUACAGGAUGUGCAGCUUGAAGAAGCUGAGGGGAUGAAUAUACUAAAUAUGCCACGCUGUCUGCACCAUGCCAGGUAGUCUAGUAUGUAUUGGGUUCCAU
rnacentral:lncRNA from 1 species